UAAGAAUCAAAGAAAUUAAAACUUCAUUGAUGUUGAUAAUCCACUUCAAUUAAAAAAGUACAUAAUACUUUUUUAUCCUAAUCCAUAAAAGGCUAUAAGUUAUGGUCCAACUUUCAAUCUAAUAUCUAUUCACUAAAAUGAAUAUAUGGACCUAAUCUAUUUCUAGAAAUGAUAUACCGAAACCUAUUAACGAUGUCAACAUUGAUGUCAUUCUGUUGGGUUUCCAGCCCAUGUGUUUUUCGUAAGAUGUUUCGUCUUAGAAUAUGGUGUUCCAAUAAGAAAAGUAAAUCCUUAUUGAUGAUGGUGUACCUGUAAUCUUGUUGAUUACAGAGAAGGAAGGAGGCAUUAUUGUCUACCACUAAUAGGAUUUGAUUUCCUAUUUGGUGAAGAGAUCUGAUAUCCUUAUGGCCAUAUAAGGAGGGGGUCAGCUCUAGGUUUUGUAUCGCAGAGACGAAGACCAAAGUGUGUUCCAUUCUCGGUUAGAGGGUGAGAGAGGGCAGAGAGGAGAGAGAUAGGAAGAGAAGUGAGAGAGUCCUUGUUUUCUUAUUCUUUCUGGUGUACCCAUUAUUAAUAUAGUGGAAGUGUUUUCUGCCGGUGGAUGUAGGCAAAGGUUUUGCUGAACCACCUUAAAUCUGUGUUCUUUGUGUCUUAUCUUUGUGGUUGUUUCUCUUGGUUUGCUGUGUUCUUUUGGGGUUCCUUGACAUACAUAAUUGGCCGAUAUCACAACACAUUCCUCUCAACGGGGCUUCAAGUCGCUAAAUGACCUCGGAAUCUUCUGCAAACACUUAUACCUACAUAUUGACCAAAUCAACAACAAAAAGAAUGAGAGAUUAGUUCAUUUGGUGCAUGCUCCACACACUCAUUAGAAGAAACCAACUUCACAGUUCAAUACUUCAAUACUAAAUACAUGAUUCCAAAUUCUAGACCAAACACCAUCUUCUCAGCCUUAUAUCUCAAUCACCAUAACUAGACUCUUUUAAAACCAAUAUCAACCGUUCUUUCCAGCCAAGACAAUUAUACAUAAGAGACCCUUAAUAACAAUUAAACCAAAUUCUCAAUUCACUACCAAAUCGGUAAUUUCCAUUAGAUUUCAAUACCAUGACCAGCCCUUCAUCCCAUUCACUAUAACCUCCCUAUAUACUUCAACAUGAACACAGCAGUACACAAAGUGUCAAUCUUUGCAGAAUUAGCCACACACAACACAACCCAAAUACUUUCAGCAUCUUUCUAUUUAUCAAACGCCAACAUCCCAUUUCAUUUUAAUUAUAACAACUAAACAGAAACUUAACUUCCAACUGGUCCAUAAUCAACAUAAACACAGUAAUACACAACUAGGCACCAGACUUUCAUAGAACUAGCCAUAACGAAAUGCACAACUCAAAAAUCUUCAAUAUUAUCAAAUUUACACCAAUCAGCAACCAACAAUAAACUCUAAUUUACUUUUCGAAUUUACCUUCGAUGCGUCAAAACAGAACUUGCUCCUUCACUGCCCAAAACUUCUUGUUGAAGAAUCAAUGACCCAAAACUCAGCAACCCUUAAAGUCCUUGUUCACUAACGCAGCAAAGGCCAAAACCAAACCCAAAAAUAGAGGAGGUUGCCGGCGGGGACAAAUUCCGUCAAGGGCAGAGAAAUAGCCCAGAAAUCCCAAAAACUAAAGUCAAUAAACUUCAAUCUAAACUGAAAAAUAAUUACCCUAGAAUGAUGAGGACGACGAGAGAAAGGAAACCAUACCAAGAGAAGUCGGGUUCGCAGCCUGAAAACCCAGAAAUCCGGCAGAAAACUCGAACCUUCUUGUCGUCGUUCCUCCUUCUACGGUCAGCGAUCGGAGAAACGAAGGCUAGAGGCGCAUCGGGGACCUCAAGGUGGUCCGGUCGGUGGUGGCCAAUCGCCGGGUAGCCACGGAUGGCGAGGCGGCGUCAGUGCUCGACAUCGGCGUCGAGUUGGUGUCGAAGAGAGAGAUUGAGGUGGUCUAACUAGUUGACCGAGUUAGUCUCCUUACAUACGNNNNNNNNNNNNNNNNNNNNGUUUCAAGACUUGUCUAGAAAUUUCUCUCUAUUUCAAGCUCGACUUUAAUUUACACUUGUUUCUUCGUAACACUAAAAACUUGAUUUAAACGUUCGUACUCCACAACAUUCAUGAAAAGAUAAUACUAAAAAGGCAACAUGACAAAAAGUCAACAUUUUUGGUCUUCUGAGGUGUCAACUCAAAAUGAAAAGUAAAUUAAGUUGUCAUUUACUAUCCAAAUGGCCAGUAACUAAUAAAUUUGGGUUCGGGGGCGUUACAACUUAAAUAUGUAUGUGGAAGAAAAUUUACCCAUUUUCAAUAACUUAUAGGUCUCGAUCAUUAGAGUCAACUUCAAUUGUACAUAAAACGUUCCUAUUCUUCCUCAUGGGGAGCGAUAUGAUCGGUCGAUAAACGUGUCCAAAUGUUCACAUAAAAUAGUUUCGUUGACACUAAAUGAGGGUAUAAGCUAGAAUUGACGAAUCUCAACUUUAAGUAUUAGCCGGUCUAGAUAAGAGGGUUUUCGUUUAGAUAAAAGUGUUG
rnacentral:lncRNA from 1 species